GGUGGGAGACCUUGAAAGCAAAAUCAUGAAGGGAAAUGUGCUUUGUCCCAAUGGCAGAAGUCACAGCCCAGUCUCUUCUGUUACCGAAUCUGUUGGAUGCAAUGCAGAUGCCACAUAAACAGAUGAAUUUUGAAUCACAGAAUGGCCCGGGUUGGAAGG